rnacentral:rRNA from 1 species
CUACGGGAUGCACCAGUAGGGAAUAUUGGUCAAUGGACGCAAGUCUGAACCAGCCAUGCCGCGUGCGGGAUGACGGCCCUCUGGGUUGUAAACUGCUUUUAUAUGGGAAGAAACCCCGGGAUGCGUUCCGGGCUGACGGUACCAUACGAAUAAGGAUCGGCUAACUUCGUGCCAGCAGCCGCGGUAAGACGAAGGAUCCAAGCGUUGUCCGGAUUUACUGGGUUUAAAGGGUGCGUAGGCGGAUGCUUAAGCCAGUGGUGAAAUCUCUCAGCUCAACUGAGAAACUGCCAUUGGAACUGGGCAUCUUGAAUUCGAUUGAGGUAGAUGGAAUAUAACAUGUAGCGGUGAAAUGCUUAGAUAUGUUAUGGAACACCGAUUGCGAAGGCAGUCUACUAAGUCGAUAUUGACGCUGAGGCACGAAAGCGCGGGUAGCGAACAGGAUUAGAUACCCUUGUAGUC